rnacentral:rRNA from 1 species
CGCGUAUACAAUCUACCUUUUACAGGGGGAUAGCCUUUAGAAAUGAAGAUUAAUACCCCAUGGCACACUGCCUUGGCAUCAGGGCACUGUUAAAGUUUCGGCGGUAAAAGAUGAGUAUGCGUUCUAUUAGCUUGAUGGUGUGGUAACGGCGCACCAUGGCAACGAUAGAUAGGGGCCCUGAGAGGGGGAUCCCCCACACUGGUACUGAGACACGGACCAGACUCCUACGGGAGGCAGCAGUGAGGAAUAUUGGACAAUGGAGGCAACUCUGAUCCAGCCAUGCCGCGUGCAGGAAGACUG